CUGAAGAUUCAUGAAUUAGACAGAUUGAUAAUGAAAGAUUAACCCCUGUACUAUAUACUUUGAUUGGUUAAUAAAUCGCCGAAUGGAAAGAUUAAAAUCGAGUCAAUUUUCAAAAUUAAAAUUUGAGAAUCAAUGAGUUUAUCGUUUCAACAAAUAUCAACCUAUCAGCUUCCUUUGAAUUUAUGUGGUUUGUAAUUUUCGAUAAAUCUCAAUACACAAGAAAUCAUUCAACUAUGAUUAUUUGAUCGGAAAAUCAACGUUAAGUGGAACUUGCAGUUAAUCUGUUCAAUCAAGAAAACAUCACAGUGUUUCCCAAAUUUCUUCAAGAUUUUGAGAAUAUAACUUUUUUCGGAUUUCAAAUAGGCGACUUAAAAACUGUUUCGUUUUGGAUUUUCAUCGAAUAUCAAUUCGAUAUUUUCAAGUAAGCAUUCAUUCGUGAAACAAUGCGCUGGAAAGAGCAAUCUAGUAUUUAGGACGGAAAGUAUGAAGCAAGAAAUUCUGCCCAAAAAAAAUUUAUGCGUGAUAUUUCCUUUGAAGUGUUGCUCUUCAAUGGUUUUAUGGAUUUGUUCCUAUUCGUGAUUCAACUCGUUUUCAAUUGAUACCUCCUUGUCUUGUAUGUUGGGGUUUUCGGCAAAGAACUUUCUGCCUGAACUAUUUUCUGAUCUAUGCAACCUCCGGUUAUACCAGAUAUAUCCUACUACUUUCUAAUCGCAAGUAACACACCCAGUAUAUUUUUAUGUAUUCUGUUUAUCAGUUAUUGGGAUUCUUAUGAAAAAACACCGUGUAAUCGUUAGGUCACACUUGUGUGAAUAUUUCUGCUGGGGAGGUUUUACUUCAGAAAAAUGUACAGGAUGAUUAUUAGAAACUCAUCAAGUUAGACAAAUCGAAUUAAUCGAAACUAGAGAUUUUCAAAUUGCGACUUCAUUACAUAUUUCAGACCAUUUCAGAAAAUAAAGGGGAAGUUACCUGAAUCAACCCUAUAUCUUAAAUGAAAACUUUCAGGGUUGUAAAACUAAAGUAAAACGGCAAUUUAGCCCUGUUUCGUUAGACUGUCACUUCCGGAAACGACAGAAGUAACUAAAAUCAGAUGUUCCGUCAAAUCAUUUUGACAUUUCAUGAAUUUUUUAUAGAUGUCCAACAAUGACAACAAACACCGUAUGGAAUACAAUUCACAAAAUGUCAAUAGUAUAUUAUUUCUUUAGAAGAAGAGUCACUUUUAAUGGCGAGCCUGUGUUUGCCAGCCGAACGUAGUGAAGGCGAGCCAUGAAAACUCACUUCUCCUCCGAAUGAAACGUGCCUUUUUCCGAACCUUUUGAAAUUCAUUAAUCUGUAUAUCAACCUUUGGAAUAGAUUUUUACAAUCGUUAUAAUUGAGUGAAUAAAGUAAAAUGUGGCUAGUAGUCAUAUUUAACAUACUCUCGAUUGUGGCGGUGGAAAAGUAAUUCAUCGCCGUUGACAUAGCAAUACUUUUCCUCCCGGCCUAAGCAAGAAAAAAAUUCGAAAAAGCCUCUACAUAAUAAGUGUUCGAAAAAAUGUGAUCUCCUGUUCUCACUAUUUUUUUCAUAAGAGUCCCAAUAACUCAUAAACCGAUGAGUUUUCACUCAAUGUAUGGUAUGCUGAUGAAAUUUCUAUCAAAUCUUACAAUAUAUUGGGUGUGCCAUUUGAAAUGAGAAAGAAGUAGUUGCAGAGGUCUGAAAAUAUCUAAGGGAGAAAAUUCAUUGUCGAAAACCCCAACAGCAAAAAAUGUGAUUAGUAAUCCAUUAACGCCUGAUAGACCAUUGCGGU